rnacentral:lncRNA from 1 species
UGCCAUUCCACAUAUGUUUGCUAUACAGAAAAUGCACUUAAUUGUGGAAUUGUGGGGGAGGUGCCUCAGUCUUCUGAACUAACAGGGGAACGAUGACCCAAGGCUUUACUUUAAGAUGGCCUGCAUCAGAGCAGCAUUUUUUCACUCUUCUCAAUAGCAAAGCAGGAAAAUGAGGAAGUGCUUGUUAACCUUCAUGCCUCGUUGACUCUGGGUGUGCAGCCACAUCCAAAGCUGACCCUUUCACCUUUUCCUUUUUGUCUGUAUGUUGAGUUCACCACUGUCUUAACGUGAGCUUUGGUUUAUAGCGAGGAAUGAAUGGGAAAUGCUGGACUGCUCGGGAGAUGGUCCAGGAGAACUGGAAGAACAUUCAAUGGUGGCUUAUAAGGGCACCCUGUAUAUUUUUGGUGGAAUGGUGGAUUCUGCUUUCACACAAGCAAAAACCCCUCUCUGGAUGUAUGACACAGGUAUGAUGCACAAUAGCCAGUGUCCUCCUUGGGACAUUCCAAGGCCAUAGGUACUAAUAAAGAGUAAAAACCAACCCGCUUUCUGCUGCUUGUAACAAGCCUUCCCUGGGCUUCACAAGAAGAAAUGUGUGUAGAACUGAGGACGUAGUUUUCCUCUACAAUUAGGCUGUUGAGCUUUUAAAGGAAUCAGCUGUUCCUUUAAUUGCACAGUUAUUAGUAUUGUUAUUAUUAUUUAGGAAAGCUUAAUGUAUUUUCAUGUCUCUUUUUUCAUUCCUCCUCCCUGCCCCAGAUUUUCUAUUCAACCGCAUUGUGGCCUCUUUGCUACUUCACUGCAUAACUUUAAGUCAGCUGGUUUGUUUUAGCCUUCAUUUUCCAACAUGGAAAUACCUGCUGCUACGGCAGAGAUUCUCAGAUAGAAGCUUCUGUGUACCAUACAUUUAAUAGGAGAAGGUAUUUUGUUACUCACAGUGCUUACCAGUGAAAAUUGUGAAUGAGUUACUCAGAAGUUUUGUGCCUUUUUUUUUUUCGUGGUCAUUAUUUCAGUAUUUCCUUGCAAGUAUAGCUUUUAAUAACAUGGACUUGUAAUUCUUCCUUAUUCUUAUCAGAUGCUGAGUAUCUGCUACCUUCAGUCCUUCAGAUCAGUGGUUUUUGACUGUUACCCGAGGACUGGUUUUAAGCGAUCUGUGAAAAGGAAAGAAAAAUAAGGCUGUGGUUGUAAGGUUUACAUAAUACAUACCAGGAUCAUUUUUUUUGCACUGUGAAAUUUAGCUUUAGGAAACAAAAAAUCCAAUAUGGCAUCUCGGGUGCUUUGAUAGCAGAUAAGGAUACAGGAGAAGUAUCAAACUGUCAGCUCCCCGGCACUGCUGUGUUAGGGGAAGCAGAUUUCUUCAUCCUUGUCAGUGGAAAACACCAAGAUGAGAUUUACUUGAAAAUUAGGUUUGUAAUUCCAAGCACUGUGUUGGAGGAGUGUCCUCUUGUGGUCUGCGGUAUAAACUGCGCUUUAUUAAAAUAAUCCCCCAGAUUCUGCAAGAUGGACAGAGGGCCGCGACGUACCAGCAGAGAUGGAGAGUUUGGCACCUACUAACAGAAAAGGCCACAGUGCAGUAGUGUACCAUGCCAGCAUGUACAUCUAUGGGGGAUACGUUGGCAUCAGAGGCAUCUCACAGGAAUUUUGGACUUUCCAUUUUGGUAAGUUUAAAAGUUGGAUACGUUUUGAUGCAGUACAAUCAGUGGAAACUGAUAUCUGCUGUGGAAUAGCGUGGCUUACUCUGUGAAGAAAAUUCCUAUCAGCAGUAAUGUUGCACGUUAGGUUUGGCUUCUAUUCAGCAGCAUUUAAUUACGAAUUCUGUCAAUUAAACUAAUCCCAGGCUGAAAUGAGUUGGACUGAAUUAUACUGGAGGAAGUUCUGCAGUAUUUGCCAGUUUUAGAGCUGAGAAAUCAGGGAGCGUGGUUCUAUUCACUGAAUUCUUCAAGGUUUACCGAAGACUUCCAGUUGCAGCAGAGACCUUCCAUGACUUCAGCCCACUGAAGUCAUCUUCAGAAUCUCAAAUCUAGAACAGACCACAGAGAUCUAAA